UACGUAGGGGGCAAGCGUUGUCCGGAAUUAUUGGGCGUAAAGAGCGCGUAGGCGGUCCGAUAAGUCGGCUGUGAAAGUCAGGGGCUCAACCCUUGGAAGCCGGCCGAUACUGUCGGACUAGAGUCCGGAAGAGGCGAGUGGAAUUCCCGGUGUAGCGGUGAAAUGCGCAGAUAUCGGGAGGAACGCCAAUGGCGAAGGCAGCUCGCUGGGACGGUACUGACGCUGAGGCGCGAAAGCGUGGGGAGCAAACAGG
rnacentral:rRNA from 1 species